rnacentral:tRNA from 1 species
GGUCGCGUAGCUCAGUUGGUUAGAGCAUCUGUCUUACACACAGAAUGUCGCAGGUUCGAGUCCUGUCGCGACCA